rnacentral:rRNA from 1 species
UACGAGAGGCCCAAACGUUAUUCGGAAUUACUGGGCUUAAAGGGUGCGUAGGCGGUGGAGUAAGUCGGAUGUGAAAUACCAUAGCUUAACUAUGGAACUGCACUCGAUACUACUUUGCUAGAGUAAGACAGAGGUGAGUGGAACUGAGGGUGGAGCGGUGAAAUGCGUUGAUAUCCUCAGGAACACCGGUGGCGAAGGCGACUCACUGGGUCUUUACUGACGCUGAUGCACGAAAGCUAGGGUAGCAAACGGG